CAGCAGCGCGGUAAUACGAAGGGUGCAAGCGUUACUCGGAAUUACUGGGCGUAAAGCGUGCGUAGGUGGUGGUUUAAGUCCGUUGUGAAAGCCCUGGGCUCAACCUGGGAAUUGCAGUGGAUACUGGGUCACUAGAGUGUGGUAGAGGAUAGUGGAAUUUCCGGUGUAGCAGUGAAAUGCGUAGAGAUCGGAAGGAACAUCUGUGGCGAAGGCGACUAUCUGGGCCAACACUGACACUGAGGCACGAAAGCGUGGGGAGCAAACAGGAUUAGAUACCCCCGUAGUCCCUGUCUCUUAUACA
rnacentral:rRNA from 1 species